AGUUGUUUGUUAAUGGGUCGCCAAGGCAUCGACGAGUAGCCGACCUGAGAGGAUGAUCGGCCACAGUCGGACUGAGACACGGCCCAGACUCCUACUGGAGGCAGCAGUAGGGAAUCUUCCGCAAUGGACGAAAGUCUGACGGAGCAACGCCGCGUGAGUGAUGAAGGUUUUCGGAUCGUAAAGCUCUGUUGUUAGGGAAGAACAAGUGCCGUUCAAAUAGGGCGGCACCUUGACGGUACCUAACCAGAAAGCCACGGCUAACUACGUGCCAGCAGCCGCGGUAAUACGUAGGUGGCAAGCGUUGUCCGGAAUUAUUGGGCGUAAAGGGCUCGCAGGCGGUUUCUUAAGUCUGAUGUGAAAGCCCCCGGCUCAACCGGGGAGGGUCAUUGGAAACUGGGGAACUAGAGUGCAGAAGAGGAGAGUGGAAUUCCACGUGUAGCGGUGAAAUGCGUAGAGAUGUGGAGGAACACCAGUGGGGAAGGAGACUUUGUGGUCUGUAAGUGACGCUGAGGAGCGAAAGCGUGGGGAGCGAACAGGAUUAGAUACCCUGGUAGUGCGCGCCGUAAACGAAGAGUGCUAAGAGGAAGGGGGCUCCGCCCCUUAUUGAGCAGCUAACGCAGUAACAGCAGAACUUUAGAUUUUCCCCGGGC
rnacentral:rRNA from 1 species